AUUUCUGCCAAACACUUAUUCUCUCUCUAAAAACAGUUCUUCUUCUUCCUUUAGCUUGUAAUCGAAGCUUACACAAAUAUAUCAAUGAAGAUAAUUCUUUCUAUUUCUUUCUUUGAUUUUUAAUUUUGUCUGAUAACAUGGUAUCAGAGCAGGAGAGUUCAAAGAUUCGUGUAGAAGUUUGAGCUGAUCUUGUUGAGCUGAUUUCUGGUUCCGAUAGAUUGUUCAUGUCAGCCAUAGAUUUCUAUUACUCGGUCAAUAAGGUCAAAGGCGUUGAUGGAAAGGACAGGGUUGUGGUUACUUUUGAUGGGAAGUAUUUGCCAUACACUGAGCAGAAGUCUGAGCACAUUCUAUCAAGACCAAGGAAUUGAAGACAAUGAAGAAUCCUUGUACAAAUUGGGUUAUGCCCUGUCAUUUGAUGUAAAUGAAGUCAUAUUCAUCAAGAACGUUUCAAGUUCUGAGAGUACUCAAUUGCUGUACCAAAAUUGUAAUAUUACAGCCUUUUUUUUAAUGAAAAUAUGUAACUUUA